rnacentral:rRNA from 1 species
UACGUAGGGGGCAAGCGUUGUCCGGAAUCAUUGGGCGUAAAGAGCGUGUAGGCGGCCCGAUAAGUCCGCCGUGAAAGUCCAGGGCUCAACCCUGGAAUGCCGGUGGAAACUGUCGGGCUGGAGUCCGGAAGAGGCGACUGGAAUUCCUGGUGUAGCGGUGAAAUGCGCAGAUAUCAGGAGGAACACCGGUGGCGAAGGCGGGUCUCUGGGCCGAUACUGACGCUGAGGAGCGAAAGCGUGGGGAGCGAACAGG